rnacentral:rRNA from 1 species
UUGGAGGGCAAGUCUGGUGCCAGCAGCCGCGGUAAUUCCAGCUCCAAUAGCGUAUAUUAAAGUUGUUGCAGUUAAAAAGCUCGUAGUUGAAUUUCGGGAUUAGUACGCUGGUCGUGCCUUCGGUAUGUACUGGUGUUACUGGUUCCUACCUUCUGACGAACCGUCAUGUCAUUAAUUUGGUGUGGCGGGGAAUCAGGACUGUUACUUUGAAAAAAUUAGAGUGUUUAAAGCAGGCUCGCGCUUGAAUACAUUAGCAUGGAAUAAUGAAAUAGGACGUUCGAUCCUAUUUUGUUGGUUUCUAGGAUUGACGUAAUGAUUAAUAGGGAUAGUUGGGGGCAUUAGUAUUCAAUUGUCAGAGGUGAAAUUCUUGGAUUUAUUGAAGACUAACUACUGCGAAAGCAUUUGCCAAGGAUGUUUUCAUUAAUCAAGAACGAAAGUUAGGGGAUCGAAGACGAUCAGAUACCGUCGUAGUCUUAACCAUAAACUAUGCCGACUAGGGAUCGGAUGAUGUUAUUUUUAAUGACUCAUUCGGNGCCNUACGGGAAACCGAAGUGUUUGGGUUC